rnacentral:rRNA from 1 species
AGCGAACGCUGGCGGCAGGCCUAACACAUGCAAGUCGAACGGAUCCUUCGGGAUUAGUGGCGGACGGGUGAGUAACACGUGGGAACGUGCCCUUUGGUUCGGAACAACUCAGGGAAACUUGAGCUAAUACCGGAUGUGCCCUUCGGGGGAAAGAUUUAUCGCCAUUGGAGCGGCCCGCGUCUGAUUAGCUAGUUGGUGGGGUAAAGGCUCACCAAGGCGACGAUCAGUAGCUGGCCUGAGAGGAUGAUCAGCCACAUUGGGACUAAGACGCGGCGCAAACUACGACGGGAGGCAGCAGUGGGGAAUCUUGCGCAAUGGGCGAAAGCCUGACGCGGCCAUGCCGCGUGAAUGAUGAAGGUCUUAGGAUUGUAAAAUUCUUUCAACGGGGACGAUAAUGACGGUACCCGGAGAAGAAGCCCCGGCUAACUUCGUGCCAGCCGCCGCCGUAAUAC